CCUACGGGUGGCAGCAGUCGAGAAUCAUUCACAAUGGGGGAAACCCUGAUGGUGCGACGCCGCGUGGGGGAAUGAAGGUCUUCGGAUUGUAAACCCCUGUCAUGUGGGAGCAAAUUAAAAAGAUAGUACCACAAGAGGAAGAGACGGCUAACUCUGUGCCAGCCGCCGCGGUAAUACAGAGGACUCAAGCGUUGUUCGGAAUCACUGGGCGUAAAGCGUGCGUAGGCUGUUUCGUAAGUCGUGUGUGAAGGGCGCGGGCUCAACCCGCGGACGGCACAAGAUACUGCGAGACUAGAGUAAUGGAGGGGGAACCGGAAUUCGCGGUGUAGCAUUGAAAGGCGUAGAUAUCGAGAGGAACACUCGUGGCGAAGGCGGGUUCCGGGACAUUAACUGACGCUGAGGCACGAAGGCCAGGGGAGCGAAAGGGAUUAGAUACCCCUGUAGUC
rnacentral:rRNA from 1 species